GGAUGAUAGAAUGAGGAUCUGAAAGGAUCAUGACAGCCUGGGGCAAGGGGACAAAUCUAACAAGAUGGAUUUUAAUAGUAAAAGAUAGAAGAUUCUGCCCUUAGAUAAGACAAGCCAGGACUCAUGGUACAUUCCAGGAACUUGUUGAUAUAAAUCCCCAAGUUUGGGAUAAUCGAGUGUGGGUACCUAGUACACCUGCAUUGGGGGAGGAUAUGCUUUAGCAGUAGCAGGUGGCCAGUAGAUUGGAGGAUUUGGGCUGAAAGCUACUUGAAGGAGUACGAUGUAACUGCUAAAAUCCAGUGGGCUCUUAGGUUGCAGAAACAGAAAUAUAAACAACACUCAGUUGACCAUGGUUAUGGUAGGGAUUGGGGCUGUGGGAUGGAGGAAAGAGGAAUCAGAAUGUCUUCUUUUUGGCAUUCCCUUCAUGGCUCAGCAGUUAACCAACCUGACUAUGAUCCAGGAGGAUGCGGGUUCAAUCCCUGGCCUCACUUAGUGGGUUAAGGAUCUGGUGUGCUCUGAGCUGUGGUGUAGGUCACAGAGACGCGGCUCGGAUCCCGAGUUGCCGUGGCUGUGGUGUAGGUCGGCAACUGUAGCUCCAAUUCGACCCCUAGCUUGGAAACUUCAAUGUGCCACAGGAGCAGCCCUAAAAAGCAAAAAUAAAAAGAAUUUUAAAAAAAAGAAUGUCUUCUUUUUUAGGAAAAAAAUUCCCCUCAUUUGGUGCAGCAUGUCCUCCAUCAUUUUCCUGAGAAGGAAUGCGAGGAAAUUUUGUGAUAUUUGAUUUCUGGAAAAUGUUGCAUUUAGUUGGUACAUUGAACAGGAAAUUUUAGGUUGGAAAUAUCUUUAGAAUCUUGAAUGUGUACAAGCCAUUACCUCCUGACUUCCAUUAUUACUACUGAGAAGUCCAAUGGCAUUCUGCUUCUUGAUCCUUUGUGCAAAAUCUGCCUUUUCUCUUUGAAGUUUCUUCUCUUGUUCCAAGAGUUCUGAAAUUUCAGAAUGGUGUGCCUCAUUUAUUGGGUUGGUGUCUCUGGUAGUUUGUUCAAUGUUAAUGCGUGUAUUACCCUUCAGUUCUGAGAUUUUUUUUUUUUUUAGGAAGAGCCAUACCUAUAGCAUAUGGAAGCUCCCAAGCUAGAGGUUGAAUUGGAGCCACAGGUGCCCUCCUAUACCACAGCUCACAGCAACGCCAGAUCCUUAAUCCACUGAGCAAAGCCAUGGAUUGAACCAGCAUCCUCAUGGAUACUAGUCAGGUUUGUUUCUGCCAAGCCAUGAUAGGAACUCCUGAGAAAUUUUCUUGAGCUACUUCUUUGAUGAUUGUUUUCCUUCCAUUUUCUCCUUCCAGAAUUACUGUUAUCAUUUUGGUAUCUCUUUUCUAUGUGCCAGGUGCUGUUCUAACCAUUUAACAAACAUUAGCAAAUUUCCUUGCAACCCUAUUUUCCAUUUCUUUACAUUUUUGUUCUAUUUGGGGGGAAGAUUGCAAACUUUCUUUCAAGGUUUCCAUUUCUUAUGUUUCACUUUCUAAGUGUCCUUUUUAGUUCUCUGAAUGAUGGUUUUAAAAAGAAUAUCCUGUUCUUAUUUUGUGAAUGCAACAUCAUUAUUUGAGGAUAGGCUUUUUCUUUUUUAACCUUUUUUCUCUCUGGCUAGUUUCUGUUUCAUCCUAGUUGCUCUUGGUCUCUCUCAUAUUAGAGGUUCUCCUCAAAUAUCGACAGUUUUUGCCUACUAGUUCAUAUUUAAGAGUGAGCUACACUAAGAAGCUAAUUCAAAGCUCUCUGCACUUGAGUUUAUCAUGAGUGGUCAUCUUGGUAGGAUGGGAUGGAAGGUAUUUCAUUUGGGGAACAAUUAAUUCCAUUAUCCUUAGGUCUUUUCUUUAGGAUGGUCACAUUCCCCCGAGAGAACACUCCCAGUGCUUAACUGGUUAGAAUAUGAAUACCCCUGCCUUCUAGGCAUUAUCAGAGCAGAAUGGAGGGAUAGGGCCAUUCAGUGUCUAACCUUUUAUUUAAUUCUCUUGUUUUCAAUCUAUCCCUCUGCCCUCAACUGUGCUUAGCAUCUCUCAGUCUAGAGACCCUCUGUUUUACCUAUGCCAGAGAAUAAACACCAAGUCUUCACCCACAAUGAGGGGCUGGCAGCCGCUUAGAUACAUAAAGGUGGGGAAGGUGUCUGUAAGUCUAACUGCUUCUCAGACAGACACUAAAUCAAUUCUACUAAGUCCCACCUCCCCCUCCCCACUACCAGAGGAACCUGAUGCUCCCAGCUCCUGAGCCUCCGGAGGACCUGCAGUGUACACUACUGCAUCUUGGCUGUCCUUCACCUUCUGAUGUCUGCUGGGCAGAUGCAUCAUUGCUGAUGUCCUCUCUCCUAUUCUCUUUGUCCUUGUGGGCUCAUACCUUCAAAACAAGCCAUUUACUGUGAUUUUAGUGGGUUUGGUAAGGUCACAGAAAUUUAACCUGUUUACCAAGAAGCUCUGUGUAAAAUUUUUAUUAUAGCAUUUUAUAGAGGUCAAAAACUGAAUCUACCAGCAGACCCUCCAAUUAAGGGAAUUAUAGAAUUCACUGUGGUUCAUCUCUAUCUUGAGAUACUAGAUAAUCAUUGGAUUGAAGGAGUUUUCUCUAUUCUAAACCAUCUGAAGAAUAUACAUGAUGUAUUACUAUGUGAAAAGUAAGGCCCAGAAAAAUGUAUAGAAUAUGACUUCACUUUUAUAAAACAAAAUGGCAAAAUCCCUGUAAAAAUAUAUUUAUGAUAAUUUUAUGUUAAAUUUGACUUCCCAGUUUGCUGCAAGUGGGAGUGGGGAAAGGCUGAAGGAGAAAGUAAAAGACUAGAAGAAAACAAUUGAGUUUAUAAUAGAGAAUAAGUUUACUAUCCUAUUCGUGCUGCUUUACCUAUACAUUUGCACAUAUGCAGAAAGAUAGAUGAACACAUGGUCAUGGAAAUGUUAACAGUGAUUGACUCUGAGUAAGACUAUUUUUGUUUUUAUUCCUACUUCUUUCUGCACUUUUUUUUUUUUUUACAGUGAGCAUGUAUCAUGAAAAUAACAUGGAAAAACUGUUUAAAAAUAAAGUUCAGGAGUUCCUGCUGUGGUGCAGUGGGUUAAGAAUCUGAAUGCAGUGGCUUGGGUUAAUGCGGAGGUGAGGGUUUGAUCCCCAGCCUGGCGCAGUGGGUUAAAGGAUCUGGCGUUGCUGCAGCUGUGGUGUAGGUCACAGCUAUGGCUUAGAUUCAAUCCCUGGAUGGCAACUUCCAUGUGCCUCGGGUGCAGGCAUAAAAAUAAUUAAAUAAAGUUCAGGAGUUCCUGUCGUGGCUAAGCAGAAAUGAAUCUGACUAGGAUCCACAAGGAUGCAGGUUCGAUCUCUGGACUCACUCAGUGGGUUAAGGAUCCAGUGUCACUGUGAGCUGCGGUGUAGGCUGCAGAUGUGGCUCGGAUCCUAUGUUGCUGUGGCUGUGGUGUAGGCCAGCAGCUACAGCUCCCAUUCGACCUCUAGCCUGGUAACUCCUAUAUGCUGCAGGUGCAGCCCUAAAAAAGAUUUAAAAAGAAAAGUUCAGAGGUACCCCAAGGUGAAAAGAUCUACAAGUGGAGGUUGCAAGGUUUAUUCCCAGAAUAGUAGAUAAAGGCAUAGGCAUCACAGUCAGAAAGAUCUGAUUUCAAAUGCAGGCACGAACAUUAGUAAGGCUGCUCAGUGUAAAGCUGAAGAGCAAGGGUGGUCUGGGAUUUGGAGCUGGAGCUCCACCAGUUACUGGUUGUGUGAUUUGGGUGCAUAUUUAAAGUCCCUGUGCCUUGGUGUCCUCACUUGGAAGAAAGGGAUGACGGCAUGACUUGCCUCACAGUGUUCCAAUGGAAAUCAGAAGAGUUAAUAAUUAAAACUGUUCAGAACAAGGCUUGGCACCUAGUAAGUGAUACUGAGGUUUGAUGUUCCUCUUUUUCUGGCUUUUUUUUUUUUGCUUUUGCUUUUUAGGGUCACACCUUGGGCAUAUGGAAGUUCCCAGGCUAGUGGUCAAAUUGGAGCUGUACCUAUGCUACAGCCACAGCAACAACAACAUGGGAUCCGAGCUGCAUCUGCAACCUACACCGCAGAUCAUGGUAACUCGGGAUCCCCAACCCUCUGAGCGAGGCCAGGGAUCGAGCCUGCAUCCUCAUGGAUCUAGUCAGAUUCAUUUCUGCUGCACCACAAUGGGACCUCCUCUUUUUCUGGUCUUAAGUCAUGCAUGUUUUGUAUCAUUCCAUCUUAACUCAGAAUACUUUUUUAACUCUUCAGUGGUUGUCCUAGGGUUUAAAAUAUACAUUUUUAACUAAUCCAAGUCUACUUUCAAAUAACACUGUAUCUUUCACAUAUAGUAAAAGUAACUUGUAGCCGAGUAUUUCCGUCUUCCACCCCAUCGCACUGCUGUCAUUCAUUUCACGUAUACAUAUACUCGAAUCACCUAAUAUGUUGUUACUAUUAUUGCUUUAAACAAAAAUUUAUCUUUUAAGUCAAUCAAUUUUAUUAUACUCUUUCUCUUUUUAUGUAGAUAUUUUCAUUCCUUUGGCUUCUUUUAAUGUUUUUCUUUGAUUUCUUCAAUUUGCAUAUGAUAUUCUCAGGUGGUUGGUUUGGGGGGGUGAUAUUUUUCCUUUUUGAUUAUUCUGACUUCCAUUGGUCUGAAUUUUGGUGUCUUUCAUUAAUUUUGGAAAAUUCUCAGACAUUAUUACUUCAAGUAUUUCUUCUGCACUUUUCUUCACCUUCCAGUAUUCCAGUGAUAUGCAUAUUACACCUUUUGCUACUGUUCCACAGUUCUUGGAUGUUCUGUUCUGGUUUUAUCUUUCUUCAUUAUUUGUCUCUUCACAUUUCCCUUUAGCAAGUUUCUUUUGGCCUCUGGUUCAAGCACACUGAUUCUUCCUCAGAAACAUCAAAUCUACUGAGGAAACCAUCAAGGGCAUUCUUCAUUUCUCUUAAGGGAUUUUUGGUAUCUAGUAUUUCCUUUUGAUUCUUAGAUUUUCCAUCUCUCUUCUUAUAUUACUCAUCUGUUCUUGUAUGGUGUCUGCUUUUCCUAUUAGGGUCCUUAGUAUAUUAAAUCAUUGUUAUUUUAAAUUCCCUGUCUGAUAAUUCCUGUAUCUAUGUCAUAGCUGGGUCUGGUUCUAAUGACUGCUUUGUCUCUUUGGUCUGUGUUUUUUUCCUUGCCUUUUGGCAUUCCUUGAAAUUUUUUUGUUGGGUAUCAGGCAUGUUUUAUUGAAUAAUAGAAACUGAGGUAAAUAGGCUUCAGAAUGAGGACUUAGGCUAAUCUGACUAGAAGUUGGCCUAUGUUUAAUAUGUGCAGUAGCUAUAGGUACCAGAGGCUUAAAACUCCUCAGGUACCAUGCUUUGCCCCCUCUGUCGACUUCGGGCUUCCCUAUAUACUCCUCUAAGGAGAGAGUCAGUCUACAUCUUUCAGCUCUUUCAGCUGCAAUCCAUUGCUAUUAUCCUGGAACCCUGUUGGCACAUAAGUAAGUUGUGGAAAAGAGGUGACAUUCUGUAAUCUGCAAAUUAAAUCUCUGUCUUUUACUAGGCUUGUGUUUCUGGGCUGUGACCUUCACAAUUGUUUCUCCCUGCCCUUUCUACUCCCUUUCAUGGCUACAGAUUUCCCAAUUUAUUUCCUUGAAGGCCUGAUCCCUGUUACAUACGUUUUUGUUUUUAUCUUUUCUUUAAGCAAAACAGGGAGACAAAAGGAAGCCAGGGUGGGAGGAAUGCCCUUUUUCUGAGAUAAGGCUCGGCUGAUGUUUCUUUCCUGAAGUGUAUUAUGGAGAAUCCUUUGGUGUAUUUCAUAGUGAUUAUGCUUUUCCUUCCACGAGCAGAUUGACAAGGUGGUCAUUUCCUAAUCUUUACCUCGAGAAUCUUGUGGGUUUCUAGAGGCAAAGCCCACAUAAAGAGUGGAGCCCCCACUAAAACUGUGGGCCCCCAGCAGUUUCUCACCCUUGAGCUAGUCCACAUUCAGCUUCCAGCAAUUUCUCAAAAUUACCAUUAAGUGUUCUUACCAGUUUAUGGCUCCAGCUGCUUCUGCUCCAGAUCUUAGAGUAUUCUCUGUGUUCACCUCUCUCUCCAGAUUCAGGGGUGGCAGUUUGUCCCGUGAAUUUGGUUUUCCAAUGAGUCCAAGAAAAAUAAUUGAUAUUCAGUUUGCUCAGGUUUUCUUGUUAUUAGAAUGGGACUUCCAGAGUUUCCCUCAUGGCACAGGGGAAAUGAAUCCAACUAGGAACCAUGAGGUUGAGGGUUCAGUCCCUAACCUUGCUCGGUGGGUUAAGGAUGCUGUGGCUCUGAUGUAGGCUGGCAGCAACAGCUCCAAUUAGACCGCUAGCCUGGGAACCUCCAUAUGCUGCAGGUGAGACCCUAAAAANAAAAAAAAAAAAAAAAAAAAA
rnacentral:lncRNA from 1 species